UGCAACACACGCGCCACAGCCCCGAGUGGGUGAGGUCGCCUCGGGCGCGGCGGGGCGGGGGCCCGUCGUCCAUGGUCAGGUUGGUGCCGUUGCAGAUGUGCGCGCUGGAGUAGAGCCAGUAAUCGGUGCCGAUGGCGAUGGCCAUGAGCGAGAAGGCGGCGAACGCUCCGGCCGUGGUCAGCAGCAUCUGCAGCCCGCGGUCGCAUCGCACCAUGGCUUCAUUCACGUUAUUAGAGCGAAGGAAACUAGCCGAGGGGAGGGGUUCCCCCGGAGGACCGAAGGCAAACUGUCUCCAGCGACCUCUCUACCCAACCUGGGACGCUCAGCUUUCCCUCGGUCCUUAGGGAGUCUGCAGUCUGUCGAGUGGGGCGUUGCGUGCGUGUCUGCUGUGCCCCCCACCCCCGAACCUCUCUGUCUCUACCUGGCUGUGAAGGAACCACGUAAGCCAGAUGCACAAGAUGGAACAUGUGUUUGGA